GGAUGUUAGCGGCGGACGGGUGAGUAACACGUGGGUAACCUGCCUGUAAGACUGGGAUAACUCCGGGAAACCGGGGCUAAUACCGGAUGCUUGUUUGAACCGCAUGGUUCAAACAUAAAAGGUGGCUUCGGCUACCACUUACAGAUGGACCCGCGGCGCAUUAGCUAGUUGGUGAGGUAACGGCUCACCAAGGCAACGAUGCGUAGCCGACCUGAGAGGGUGAUCGGCCACACUGGGACUGAGACACGGCCCAGACUCCUACGGGAGGCAGCAGUAGGGAAUCUUCCGCAAUGGACGAAAGUCUGACGGAGCAACGCCGCGUGAGUGAUGAAGGUUUUCGGAUCGUAAAGCUCUGUUGUUAGGGAAGAACAAGUACCGUUCGAAUAGGGCGGUACCUUGACGGUACCUAACCAGAAAGCCACGGCUAACUACGUGCCAGCAGCCGCGGUAAUACGUAGGUGGCAAGCGUUGUCCGGAAUUAUUGGGCGUAAAGGGCUCGCAGGCGGUUUCUUAAGUCUGAUGUGAAAGCCCCCGGCUCAACCGGGGAGGGUCAUUGGAAACUGGGGAACUUGAGUGCAGAAGAGGAGAGUGGAAUUCCACGUGUAGCGGUGAAAUGCGUAGAGAUGUGGAGGAACACCAGUGGCGAAGGCGACUCUCUGGUCUGUAACUGACGCUGAGGAGCGAAAGCGU
rnacentral:rRNA from 1 species